rnacentral:rRNA from 1 species
AGUGAACGCUGGCGGUAGGCCUAACACAUGCAAGUCGAACGGCAGCACAGUGAGAGCUUGCUCUUACGGGUGGCGAGUGGCGGACGGGUGAGGAAUACAUCGGAAUCUACUUUUUCGUGGGGGAUAACGUAGGGAAACUUACGCUAAUACCGCAUACGACCUACGGGUGAAAGCAGGGGAUCUUCGGACCUUGCGCGAUUGAAUGAGCCGAUGUCGGAUUAGCUAGUUGGCGGGGUAAAGGCCCACCAAGGCGACGAUCCGUAGCUGGUCUGAGAGGAUGAUCAGCCACACUGGAACUGAGACACGGUCCAGACUCCUACGGGAGGCAGCAGUGGGGAAUAUUGGACAAUGGGCGCAAGCCUGAUCCAGCCAUACCGCGUGGGUGAAGAAGGCCUUUGGGUUGUAAAGCCCUUUUGUUGGGAAAGAAAAGCAGCAGGUUAAUACCCCGCUGUUCUGACGGUACCCAAAGAAUAAGCACCGGCUAACUUCGUG